rnacentral:rRNA from 1 species
UACGGAGGAUGCAAGCGUUAUCCGGAAUGAUUGGGCGUAAAGCGUCCGCAGGUGGCUGUGUAAGUCUGCUGUUAAAUAGCGAGGCUCAACCUCAUAAAGGCAGUGGAAACUACACGGCUAGAGUGCGUUCGGGGCAGAGGGAGUUCCUGGUGUAGCGGUGAAAUGCGUAGAGAUCAGGAAGAACACCGGUGGCGAAAGCGCUCUGCUGGGCUUGGUCUGACGCUGAGGCGCGAAAGCGUGGGGAGCGAACAGG